GUUUUUACAUGCAAAUGCAUAUGAGGAUGUUAUCAUUUCAUUUAAUAGGCACUGAAACAAAUGUGUGUGUAUGUUGGUAUAUGCCUGCUUAAGUGACUCAUUACUCUUUAGAAUGCUCUAAGCAGUUGAGAAGAUUACUCUUUAGUCGGGAAAUGAGAAACGAAGUUGUACUGUUUGUUUACUGUGAUUGCUCUAGUUAGUUCAAUUGAAUAUCUUCCCUUUGAAGAGGCAAAAUU
rnacentral:misc_RNA from 1 species